UUUUUUUUUUUAAAAUUUGAACUCCAUACAAAGUCUUAAUCCGGGGGUCCACAAGUAAGAGAAAAGUAUUUUUUACUCAGACAAUAUAGCCAGACAGACUUGAAUGCUAAUUGGUGUUAAGAUGUCUGUAGUUAAAAUAAAGUUGGGCCCAAUAAACUGGUAGAUCAAAGGCCUGUUGAGCGCUCAUGCCCGGUGUGAUUUUAACAAUUGACUCCAAAUGCGUUGACAAGAAAAUAAGUGAAUGUGAUUGGUUGAUAAAACCAACGUACUAUAGGCUACAUUUUGUCUGCGAUAUCAUCUCGGUGGAAGCGGACAUUAAAUGAAGUGAUUUCACACAAUUAAUUUAACAUUUAACAACGUGCUGAAAUGAUUUUGGAGCAGUGAUAUGUUUGACAAAUGUAAGUUAAUGGUCAGAUAGAAUACAAGACCGCAGAAUCACAUUAUGAUUAAAGCAGAAACGGCUCGACUUGAACCAGCAGGUAAGAAUCUGUUUUGAAAUUAUAUCUUGGGAGGUUGGAUUGGCGUUGGAGACCCGAUUGGCGGCCAUUUUGAUUCUUGUUUCAUGAUUUUUUUUAUAUUAUAACAAUUUUGCCAAGAGUAGACAUAAACGCGGGCACAGACUAGAAAAAAAUCUUUUUACACUUUUGUGUUAGUUAAAUUGUAAUCUAAUUUAUGUUUUAAAAAAACAACCUUAAAUCUAAUAAGCAGACGGAAGAUAUGGACGAACAACAAGAAGAAGUUAUGGAGGCCCCAACAACUGAACCUAUGGAAGUAGAAGAAUCGUUUACAGCCGAAACCCGAUACGAUGUGCCAGUUCCGGUCAUGGAGUCCUCCAUCUCAGACGAUGCCGACGUUAGUGUCUUCUGCGACGAAGAACCCGUAGUGGUGUAUACGCAGGUAGAAGCUGGUACCUCCCGUGGCAAGUCCAAGUUGUUUGACAACCAAGGGUUUAGUUAUACAAUUAAGACAGAGAAGAAAACUACGAUUUGAAGGUGUUCCAAAAGAAGCGGACCAACACGAUGUCCGGCAACAGUAAUCCAAGAUGGUGAUACAUACCAACCAGGCUUAAAGAACCAUCUUCACCCAGCAGAACCCGGUAUACAGACGGCUACCAAGAUAAAAGUUACAGCAAAGCAUGAAGCCAAAGGAAAUGUUUUUACCAAGUCAUGUUCCUCAAUAGCGGAGAGAGUUUUAUCCAGUGUCGGUUCUGCAGAAGAACCCAUUCAUAGCAGACCACCCAUGGCAGCACUUGUAAGGUCGCUACAAAGAACCCGACAGACUCUGCGACCAAAAGAUCCCACUGACGUGUCGUCAAGCCUUGACGAAGAUUUCAUCGAUCAUAGUGCACCGGGAUUUUAUCAAAAAAGAGUAAAAGUUGGGGAAAGGCGCCAUCACAUUUUUUGUACUGAUAGACAGAUGCAACUACUCGCACGCGCAAAAACUUGGUAUAUGGAUGCAACUUUUCGGGUGGUGAACAAGCCAUGGUCUCAGCUGUUUUCCAUCCACGCCUUCAUUAAGACUGGAGAGACCACCCGACAGUUACCAUUGGUGUUUUGUGUAAUGUCGGGUAAAAGCCAAGACGACUAUUAUAAGGUAAAUAGCACUUACUGAUUGAAUUACUAUUAAUAGUAAAAAAGGACUAUUAUUUGGGACCUUGAAAUUGUCACAAAUGGGUCGCACUAACAGCGACAUUUGUUUCAGGCAUAUUUGUUUCAUCGGUGACACGUCUGGUGUCAUGUGAAUGCAACGACAACAGCCUGGUUGAUUGAUUUGUUGAUUGGAGUUCAGAUGUCUACAUUAAAAUCGACCACUUUCAGGUUGCCGUAUUCACGGCCAGGCAAGAUCGACUUGAAAUUUCUAGAAAUUUUUCUGGGGGAGACAGGCCCCAACAACUCCCCAGACGGUGCGUUUCACGACUUUGGCGCAAGACGGUGACCUUGAAGAGACGUGGAAAACCAUUUAAUAGACAUAGUAAAAGUCAUAUCUUACGAGAUUAUCGCUGGUCUUGUCAGAAAAUGCUAUUUUAUAUAUGACCAGUUUGUGUUUGAAAAAUUUAAAAAGAAAUUAUUUAUUCUCCCACCAUUAAAGCACACUAAUUACGAAAUAUCGCUCUCAGAAACUUCAUGGUUUCUUUUGCAAUUUGUUUGGGGUAAGACGUUAUAUAAAUAAUAUCAAUCUGUCUACCACAAAAAUUUAACAGAUACAAAUGCAUGUUAUUCCACAGGUAGACAGACAGGGCCUCCUUUGAAGGGACUCAGUGAAGGGAACGCGGUUGGUUUAGAGUUUGUCUGACCCCUUUGAAUAUUUGCGUCUCAUCUCCAGUGAAAACAAUCAUGUUGCUCUCAUGCUGUUUUCAACCAGAAUCAAACAUAUAUCGUACCCGAGAUUUGUUAGCAUGUUCCACACAACCCAACAUUUAUCGGCACCGGGAUUAAGGGUGUAUAUCUUUGUUUCUAACGCUUAUUGGGAAUACGCCACGGAAACUACAAUAAAAACUUAUUUACAAAAACAUUCUAAAGAGUGAAAACUGACAUAUUUCAAGCUUUACUGUAUUUAAAGAAAUAAUUUAAAUCAGCCGGCUGAAACCCCGUCUCCGCUAUUUGUUCAGUCAUUCUUUAGGUAUAGUGCCAGUUUCCACCGACAAUGAUAUUGCAAACAAGUGUCCAAUCUAUAAAAGCAUACAUUCCUACAAAAUGUUUCUUUAGUCAAGUGAAACAAUAAAUUCAUAACUAUGCGAGUAAAUUCGUGGUAACAAGUCUGAAAAGGCUAAUGUGACAUAGAACAAGGUCACCUUGAUGUUGACAAAUACGUAAGACGAUAUGAACAUCAACUAAAAAGAUAUGUAAUGUGAUUCAGCUACAAGGUGAUAUAUGCAUAUAUGCAGCAUAGAUAAUUAAAACUUCUAUUCAAGUUAAACCAACUGUAACUAUUUAUUUAAGUCUUACGUCGAGCUGAAUACAUUUUAUGAUUUAUUGUCAUCUAUUGGUGGUUAACAGUGUAACUAAAAACUAAAAUUGGAUCUUAUUAUUGCCAAUGAUACAAUGUACAUGUAAUAGCAAGUGUAUAUAUAUUUUUUGUUCAGUCUGUACACAGUAACAUAUCUGAGAACCAUAUUAUUAUCAUUUCUGCCCAAGGCUCACUGUGCCUUAUAGUUAGCAGUGAUACAAGGCAAUUACCAAUUUUCCAUGUUCUUGGCCUGAAGAAAUAAAAUAAUAAAAGUCAAGUUUUUAUUAUUAUGCAAGUGGAAAAAUACAAUUAUUCAUAGUAUGAUUUGAAUAAAUACAACUGAUUUGAAGUUGGAAUUAUUAUUUGUCUAAGAUGACAAAAUUAAUGUAUUGAAUAUACCUUAUUCUGAGCAAAGUUAUGACUGUUUGAAGUUUUGACAGGACGUGGCAUAGAUUGUUUAAUAUCAUUAACGUUACUUGUUAAUCAAGACUCAGCCUCGCUUCUCCAUUUUUUAAAUUAAAUGGCAAUCAUAUUUAAAUCUACGACAUACGAGGGCCUAGGGUGUUGAAUAUAGGCUUGCAGGCCCGUAGCUAGUCGGGGAGGGGGAGCAGUUUAGCAGCGACCGGGGGCGGGGAGUUGCCCCCCCCCUCCCUGAUAGCUAUGGGCCGGGGCUUGACAUGUAAAUAAAUGUCUAAGGGUCACAUUUGAAGCCGAAAUAAAAAUGGUGAUAGGAAGAUUAGGCUCUUACAUAAUGUAUCUUUAAUAUAGUUAGAGAAAAGAUCAUAGUUUAACAUUAUGUUAUUGAACAUUGUAAAUAUAUCAACAUCAUUAUGUAAACUAUUCAUUAUAUAUUUUGUACAUGAUUUUGUGAAAAGUUGAUGACUUGAAAUAUAAAAGUUAAAACUAGA